CGUGUAGGCGGGUCUUUAAGUCAGGGGUGAAAUGCCAAGGCUCAACCUUGGAACUGCCUUUGAUACUGGAGAUCUUGAGUCCGGGAGAGGUGAGUGGAACUGCGAGUGUAGAGGUGAAAUUCGUAGAUAUUCGCAAGAACACCAGUGGCGAAGGCGGCUCACUGGCCCGGAACUGACGCUGAGACGCGAAAGCGUGGGGAGCAAACAGGAUUAGAUACCCUGGUAGUCCACGCUGUAAACGAUGGAUGCUAGCCGUUGGGGAGCUUGCUCUUCAGUGGCGCCGCUAACGCAUUAAGCAUCCCGCCUGGGGAGUACGGUUGCAAGAUUAAA
rnacentral:rRNA from 1 species